rnacentral:ncRNA from 2 species
GAUCAAGAAGUUCGGCCCUUUCUUAAGCCUCUCGGCUGGCCGACUGGCAACCGCAAGCGUUUUUCGCGGUGCCCCCGAGAGAAGAUCCGUCGCCGCGUCAGGCGUACCCGCCCCGGCGAAAGUAACGCAC